ACUCAAAUGAAUUGACGGGGGCCCGCACAAGCGGUGGAGCAUGUGGUUUAAUUCGAUGCAACGCGAAGAACCUUACCUACCCUUGACAUGUCACAAAUCUCGGUUAAGCGCUGAGAGUGCCGAAAGGAAUGUGAACACAGGUGCUGCAUGGCUGUCGUCAGCUCGUGUCGUGAGAUGUUGGGUUAAGUCCCGUAACGAGCGCAACCCUUGUCCUUCGUUGCCAGCGAAAGCGGAACUCGAAGGAGACUGCCGGUGAUAAACCGGAGGAAGGUGGGGAUGACGUCAAGUCAUCAUGGCCUUUAUGGGUAGGGCUACACACGUGCUACAAUGGGAUGAACAGAGGGCCGCGAACCCGCGAGGGGGAGCAAAUCCUGGAAAACAUCUCGUAGUCCGGAUCGGAGUCUGCAACUCGACUCCGUGAAGUUGGAAUCGCUAGUAAUCGCGAAUCAGAAUGUCGCGGUGAAUACGUUCCCGGGCCUUGCACACACCGCCCGU
rnacentral:rRNA from 1 species